rnacentral:lncRNA from 1 species
CAAGAUAUACACAAUAAUAUUUAGUGAUAUACAUGUGACACACAUAUAAUAUAUCAGUAGUAUAUUAUUUGUCAGUCGCUUGAAUAUCGUAACACACAUAUACAACAGAUUGUUCUUCAACACUUCUUCAGCUAUGUCUCCACUAAAUGUUUUGAAACUUUAUCCACAGCUUAAAAAUUAUAAUUUCCAAUCAUCAAUUUCAGCAAACAACAGCAAAUUCAACAAAAUCCAUUUUAUGUUCCUCAAGUUCUCUCAAAAUUUAGCAAUCAAGUUUUUUGAGUUUCUCACUGAGGAAAUUCAAUCAAUCCAAUCAGUGUUUAGACAUUAAGGUGUCGUUUGGUUGGGAAUGUAGUUAUGUUGGGAUUAGUUAUGUUGAGAUAAGUUAUACUUAAAUUAGUUAUGAUGGGAUUAUUUUUUAUUGAGUGUUUGAUUUAUUGUAUUUAAAGUAAUAUGCAUGAUAUAAUUUCUAAGAAUAAAUUAAUUGAUUACCAAAAUACCCCAUUUUUUUUUUUUAAUAUAUAUUUCGUUUCAAG